rnacentral:rRNA from 1 species
CCUACGGGGGGCUGCAGUAGGGAAUCUUCCGCAAUGGACGAAAGUCUGACGGAGCAACGCCGCGUGAGCGAAGAAGGUCUUCGGAUCGUAAAGCUCUGUUGUCGGGGAAGAACAAGUACGGUAGGAAAUGGCCGUACCUUGACGGUACCCGACGAGAAAGCCACGGCUAACUACGUGCCAGCAGCCGCGGUAAUACGUAGGGGGCGAGCGUUAUCCGGAAUCACUGGGCGUAAAGGGUGCGUAGGCGGCCGAUAAAGUCUGGGGUGAAAGGCUACGGCUCAACCGUAGUAAGCCUUGGAAACUUAUUGGCUUGAGUGCAGGAGAGGAGAGCGGAAUUCCUGGUGUAGCGGUGAAAUGCGUAGAUAUCAGGAGGAACACCAGUGGCGAAGGCGGCUCUCUGGACUGUAACUGACGCUGAGGCACGAAAGCGUGGGGAGCAAACGGGAUUAGAUACCCCAGUAGUC